rnacentral:rRNA from 1 species
GACGAACGCUGGCGGCGUGCUUAACACAUGCAAGUCGAACGCUGAAGCUCAGCUUGCUGGGUGGAUGAGUGGCGAACAGGUGAGUAACACGUGAGUAACCUGCCCUCUUCUUUGGGAUAACGCCCGGAAACGGGUGCUAAUACUGGAUAUUCACUGAUUCUCGCAUGGGGGUUGGUGGAAAGGUUUUUUCUGGUGGGGGAUGGGCUCGCGGCCUAUCAGCUUGUUGGUGGGGUGAUGGCCUACCAAGGCUUUGACGGGUAGCCGGCCUGAGAGGGUGACCGGUCACAUUGGGACUGAGAUACGGCCCAGACUCCUACGGGAGGCAGCAGUGGGGAAUAUUGCACAAUGGGCGAAAGCCUGAUGCAGCGACGCCGCGUGAGGGAUGGAGGCCUUCGGGUUGUAAACCUCUUUCGCUCAUGGUCAAGCCGCAGCUUUGGGUUGUGGUGAGGGUAGUGGGUAAAGAAGCGCCGGCUAACUACGUG